rnacentral:rRNA from 1 species
AAACGUUGGGAACUAGGUGUUGGGGACAUUCCACGUCGUCGGUGCCGCAGCUAACGCAUUAAGUUCCCCGCCUGGGGAGUACGGCCGCAAGGCUAAAACUCAAAGGAAUUGACGGGGGCCCGCACAAGCAGCGGAGCAUGUGGCUUAAUUUGACGCAACGCGAAGAACCUUACCAAAGGCUUGAACAUAACAC